AAACGACAGAGAUACAGUAUCUAUCAAGUCACACAGCUCUCCGACUUGGAAGUUAGCGAAGGGGGUUAGCAACUGAUCCAGGUUUAUUAUAGAAAUGUCUUGUUUUUGCAACUGUAGUGAGUUUCAAAAAAGAACUGACACUAAUAUAGAAUAUUUAUUUCAACAAGUGACUCAACUUAAGGAAAUCCUGGGACGAGGCCAUGGAUGCCAAGACUGCAAGAUGAACAAAAAGAAGCUUGAAGAUGCAAUUCGGAUGGCAGACCAAUCCAAGAAAGAUCUAGAAGAUUUCAAGCAAAGGAUGAAAGUCAAGAUUUCCAAGGAGAUUGGUGUCAGGGGAGAUUUGUCAGAAAACAUCAAUGACCCCUGCAGAGAGACAGAGCUUCUGAAAAUGUAUGAGAUUCUGAAGAACCAAACCUGGGAACAAACAAAAGAAUGGAUAUUGAAUGGAAAACAUAUAGCCCCUAAACAUAUUUUUAAACUUGGAGCUCAGAUCAUAAAGGUUAGUUGUUGUUUCCUAAUUUUUUGCAAAUGCAUUACAAUUGGGUAUAUCAGUGUGCCCUUCUGUUUCUAUUACCUUGUUGAGUGUCUGUGCCUCACUGUUUUCAACGCAACAUCCAAAAAGUUUCUGUCAAUUCUGAUUGCGCAUCCAU